UAAUACAGAGGGGGCAAGCGUUGUUCGGAAUUACUGGGCGUAAAGGGCGCGUAGGCGGCCUUCUAAGUCGAACGUGAAAUCCCCGGGCUCAACCCGGGAACUGCGUCCGAGACUGAAAGGCUCGAAUCCGGGAGAGGGAUGUGGAAUUCCAGGUGUAGCGGUGAAAUGCGUAGAUAUCUGGAGGAACAUCGGUGGCGAAGGCGGCAUCCUGGACCGGUAUUGACGCUGAGGCGCGAAAGCCAGGGGAGCAAACGGGAUUAGAUACCCCGGUAGUCCUGGCCCUAAACGACGAAUGCUUGGUGUGGCGGGUAUCGAUCCCUGCCGUGCCGAAGCUAACGCAUUAAGCAUUCCGCCUGGGGAGUACGGUCGCAAGGCUG
rnacentral:rRNA from 1 species